CACGUGGGCUACAAGCAUUAUCCGGUAUUAUUGGGCGUAAAGGGUCGCGUAGGUGGUUUGUAAAGUUAUCUUCUAAAUCUCCAUGCUCAACAUGGAUUAAGGAGAUAAUACUCACAAACUAGAAUUUUCUUUAGGGCGACUGGAACUGAGAGAGGAGUAGUGAAAUGCGUUGAUACUCUCGGGAACACUAGUGGCGAAGGCGAAUCGCUGGAAGAAGAUUGACACUGAGGCACGAAAGCUAGGGGAGCGAAGCAG
rnacentral:rRNA from 1 species